GCUAGUUGUAUUAAUUUGUCUUUAGUUAAUGCAGCAUCGACUAUGUCGAAUAAAGUUCUAGGUAGAGUUAUGAUAAUGACAUUUUCUACCUAUGUGUCUUGACCAAGUCACGUGCCAGCAGUCGCGGUAAUACGUGGAAGACUAGUGUUAUUCAUCUUUAAUAGGUUUAAAGGGUACUUAGACGGUAAAUUUAGCCCAGAUUAAAAAAAAGGGUACUAAUUAUACUAGAGUUUAAUGAGAGGGGGAGGUGUAAUAGUGGAGUAGAGAUGAAAUUCUGUCAUACCAUUAUGACAGGCAACGGCGAAAGCAACCUUUUAUGUGAAAACUGACGUUAAAGGACGAAGGCUUUGUAUCGCCAACAGGAUUAGGUACCCAAGUAGUCUUAGCAGACAAUUCUGAAUGCCAUAGAUAAGAUGUAUUUUGUCUAUAAAUGAAAGUGUAAGCAUUCCACCUCAAGAGUAAUGUGGCAACGCACAAACUGAAAUCAUUAGACCGUUUCUGAAACCAGUAGUGAAGUAUGUUGUUUAAUUUGAUGGUCCGCACAAAACCUUACCACAAUUUGUAUAUUAUUAUCUUAAUACAGGAGUUGCACGGCUGUCUUCAGUUAAUGUCGUGAGAUUUAGGUUAAUUCCGUUAAAUUAACGUAAACCCUUACUUUAU
rnacentral:rRNA from 1 species